AGUGAACGCUGGCGGUAGGCCUAACACAUGCAAGUCGAACGGCAGCACAGUAAGAGCUUGCUCUUACGGGUGGCGAGUGGCGGACGGGUGAGGAAUACAUCGGAAUCUACUUUUUCGUGGGGGAUAACGUAGGGAAACUUACGCUAAUACCGCAUACGACCUACGGGUGAAAGCAGGGGAUCUUCGGACCCUGCGCGAUUGAAUGAGCCGAUGUCGGAUUAGCUAGUUGGCGGGGUAAAGGCCCACCAAGGCGACGAUCCGUAGCUGGUCUGAGAGGAUGAUCAGCCACACUGGAACUGAGACACGGUCCAGACUCCUACGGGAGGCAGCAGUGGGGAAUAUUGGACAAUGGGCGCAAGCCUGAUCCAGCCACACCGCGUGGGUGAAGAAGGCCUUCGGGUUGUAAAGCCCUUUUGUUGGGAAAGAAAAGCAGCAGGUUAAUACCCCGCUGUUCUGACGGUACCCAAAGAAUAAGCACCGGCUAACUUCGUG
rnacentral:rRNA from 1 species